rnacentral:tRNA from 1 species
CAAGGAAUAGUAUAUUAAAGUACAUUUUGUUUACACCAAGAAGGAGAGCGGUUCUUCCUUGA